CCCACAGCGGCCCUCGAUGACCGGUUUGGAGACCCCUGGUGUAGUGGGAAAUUCGCCUGACUUUGAGGGUGUAGUCAACUUUUCGGCCCAAGUCAGCUGGAGUAUGCUCCCGAACCCUGUGACCCUGACAAGGCAUUUUCAUCUCUGACAGAAUACUGUCACGGGAGGCUUUGAACUUCCUCUGCUGUGUCUCAAUCUGCUGCAUCUGGUUCAUCAGCUGGUCGAUCUCAUUGUUGAUGCGUAAAAGGAUAGGCUAAGGACGUUUUCACCAAAUAUUGUAUUUUUAUGAUUUAUUGUAAGUAGAGUUGUCCGAUAUUAUCGGGCAGCCGAUAGUAUCUUCCGAUAAAAGCAUUUUAAAAUGAUAUUGGAUAAUAUGGACAUCGGUUUUGGGGCGAUAUGCAUAUGGCAGUGCUGUCAUGUCCAUGUAUUGCCUGCCUGUGUUUCUGGCGUUUUGACGCUCCCUGCUGUCACUAGGUGAAUUAGUUUUGAAAAGUUCCAACAUUUUCGGCUGACGUCAUCAUAUGUCGUCGCGAGAUCAUUGCGAAUACAGAGAGCUAAAUGGAAGAGCUAAUAUCUGCAGCACGUGUACCAUAGCAGUUCUUGCCAUCUCACCAUGUAGUUUGUACCUUAUACAAGCAUUACUUCUAAGUUAUAUUCUUCCUUUGUUUUAUACUAAUGAGCGUUGUGUAGUAUAUUGGAGAUGUGUAUAUUUAGUUUUGUUAGCAUUUGUAGUAAAAUGUGAUUGACACGUGGUGUAUACUUUGCUUUAUUUGAGACUUUAUUACAUUUUAUUUACACAAUGUUUUGUUUUUAUUUUUCCAAAAAAUAUCCGUGCUCUUGUCAAGAGAAUGAUGACCACAGUAAAG